rnacentral:rRNA from 1 species
CGCAUCUGUGCAUGCAGCAUAUCAAUAAGCGGAGGAAAAGAAACUAACAAGGAUUCCCCUAGUAACGGCGAGUGAAGCGGGAAGAGCUCAAAUUUGAAAUCUUAAAGGGUUUCCCUUUACGAAUUGUAGUUUAAAGAAGUGUUUUCUGUUGAGGUUUUGGUAAAAGUUCUUUGGAAUAGGACAUCAUAGAGGGUGAGAAUCCCGUAUUUGACCUUUACUUUCAACUUUGUGAUACACUUUCAAAGAGUCGGAUUGUUUGGGAAUGCAGUCCAAAAUGGGUGGUAAAUUUCAUCUAAAGCUAAAUAUUGGCGAGAGACCGAUAGCGAACAAGUACCGUGAGGGAAAGAUGAAAAGAACUUUGAAAAGAGAGUUAAACAGUACGUGAAAUUGUCAAAAGGGAAGCGUUUGACACCAGUGUUGUUUUUCUGAAAAUCAAUUAAAGAACUGUUUAUGCUAAGCUGUUUAGACUUUAUCAGCUAUACUGUUUAGUUUUGAGCUUUUCUUUAAUGCACUUUUCAGUUAACAAGUCAACAUCAAUUUCUUUUGCUGUAAAAAAGCUUGAGGAAGGUGGCUUGAGAUUCGUCUUAAGUGUUUAUAGCCUCUUGCCUAUGCAGUCGGAGAGAUUGAGGUCUGCAGCGUAGAUCCUUCGGGGCUAAAUGCAUUUGUGCUAAGUUAUAGCAUUUUAUAGACAACUUGUUGACUAUGAUUUGUCUUGUAGCUUACUCGCUUAUGUUAUUUUACCUACGCUUAGGAUGUUGAGUCAUCACACAUCUCU